rnacentral:tRNA from 1 species
CGGGAUGUAGCUCCAACUUGUGCAGAGCGCCUGGUUUGGGACCAGGAGGCUGCGAGUUCGAAUCUCGCCGUCCCGA